AUUGAACGCUGGCGGCAGGCUUAACACAUGCAAGUCGACCGAGUGGCGGACGGGUGAGUAAUGCUUGGGAAUCUAGCUUAUGGAGGGGGAUAACUACGGGAAACUGGAGCUAAUACCGCGUAACUUCGGAUGAGCCAAAGUGGGAUUAGGUUGUUGGUGAGGUAAAGGCUCACCAAGCCUACGACCUAUAGCUGGUCUGAGAGGAUGACCAGCCACACUGGGACUGAGACACGGUCCAGACUCCUACGGGAGGCAGCAGUGGGGAAUAUUGCGCAAUGGGGGCAACCUGACGCAGCCAUGCCGCGUGAAUGAAGAAGGCCUUCGGGUUGUAAAGUUCUUUCGGUAGCGAGGCGUUAACAACAGAAGAAGCACCGGCUAACUCCGUGCCAGCCGCCGCGGUAAUUC
rnacentral:rRNA from 1 species